UACGUAGGGUGCAAGCGUUGUCCGGAAUUAUUGGGCGUAAAGAGCUCGUAGGCGGUUUGUCGCGUCUGCUGUGAAAACCCGAGGCUCAACCUCGGGCCUGCGGUGGGUACGGGCAGACUAGAGUGCGGUAGGGGAGAUUGGAAUUCCUGGUGUAGCGGUGGAAUGCGCAGAUAUCAGGAGGAACACCAUGCGAAGGCAGAUCUCUGGGCCGUAACUGACGCUGAGGAGCGAAAGCAUGGGGAGCGAACAGG
rnacentral:rRNA from 1 species